rnacentral:rRNA from 1 species
GUCCAGACUCCUACGGGAGGCAGCAGUGGGGGAUAUUGCACAAUGGGGGAAACCCUGAUGCAGCGACGCCGCGUGGGUGAAGAAGCGCCUCGGCGCGUAAAGCCCUGUCAGCAGGGAAGAAAAUGACGGUACCUGAAUAAGAAGCCCCGGCUAACUACGUGCCAGCAGUCGCGGUAAUACGUGGGGGGCAAGCGUUAUCCGGAAUUAUUGGGUGUAAAGGGUGCGUAGACGGAGAAACAAGUUGGUUGUGAAAUCCCUCGGCUCAACCGAGGAACUGCAACCAAAACUAUUUCCCUUGAGUGUCGGAGAGGAAAGUGGAAUUCCUAGUGUAGCGGUGAAAUGCGUAGAUAUUAGGAGGAACACCAGUGGCGAAGGCGACUUUCUGGACGAUAACUGACGUUGAGGCACGAAAGUGUGGGGAGCAAACAGGAUUAGAUACCCUAGUAA